GGGGGACCGCAACGGCCUCACGCGAAUGGAGCCGGCCGAUGUCAGAUUAGCUAGUUGGUGGGGUAAAGGCCCACCAAGGCGACGAUCUGUAGCGGGUCUGAGAGGAUGAUCCGCCACACUGGGACUGAGACACGGCCCAGACUCCUACGGGAGGCAGCAGUGGGGAAUUUUGGACAAUGGGCGCAAGCCUGAUCCAGCCAUGCCGCGUGCGGGACGAAGGCCUUCGGGUUGUAAACCGCUUUCAGCCGGAAAGAAAUCGCCGUUUUAAUACAGACGGUGGAUGACGGUACCGGAAGAAGAAGCACCGGCUAACUACGUG
rnacentral:rRNA from 1 species